UCCCUGCUGGUCCAGAGGUUAGGACUCAGCACUUUCACUACAGUGGUCCCGGGUUCAAUCCCCGGUCAGGGAA